GGUUGUUGUGGUCUCUGAGAUAGUUGCGCAUGUAAAGAUAGUUCUAACUUCUAUUCUAUUGAUGUGGUAUCUGAGAUAGUUUUCAUAAUGCUGCUUUUUGUUGCUUGUGUAGGGCUGAUUCGAAAAAGAGACGUGCAGAGAAGGAACAUGCAGAAAAAGAGCACGUGCCUUCUGGUUGGGGUAAAGAAUUAGGUUAAGUACAAGACUAAUAUACUAUUUUGGAACAUAUUUGUUUGGCUACUUGAAUUUGUAAUAUUCUCAUUGUAUCUGUAGGAGAUAGUAAUUUUUUAUACAUCAUGACUUGAGAUUUUAGAUUUAUAAUUAUUGGUUCUGUAAAGUGAAUGUAUUCAACAAUACUUUCAAUUACAUGAAUGAAGUUUAUGUUGGCUUU